AUGGAGUUUCCCAGAUUUGAUGGCUCCAAUCCACAAGAGUGGUUAAGGCUCACAGAGAAAUACUUUGCAAUGGUGUUUGUACCCGAAAGUGCAAAGUUUGACUAUGCUCAGAUGUAUAUCAUUGGGAGAGCUGACACUUGGUUGAGGAACUCUGGCAUACUCCAAGAAAACCCCACCUGGAAAGAAUUCUGCAAAGUAUUGUGCAAACGAUUUGCUGAUAGCAGCUCUUAUGAAGCAGUAGCUGAUUUCAACUCAAUCAAACAAGGGGCCAGUACUGUAGCAGAGUACACAGACCGAUUUGAAGACAAAAUAGCAUGCUACAAGAAAGAAAACCCUGAAGUAAAAGAGCAGUAUUAUGUCAAGUGCUACAUCAAUGGUUUAAGAGAAGAAAUUAAACACUACCUCAAGCCAUUUAAGCCAGCCUCUCUCUAUAAUGCAGUAGAGACUGCCAGAGACAUGGAACAGGGAGCAAAUGCUUCUAACCAGUCCAGAAAAUACCAGCAAACAGGGUACUAUCAAAAGACCACUGCCACAAAUACCUUACCCACUAAACCAAAACCAGUCGACUAUGCUAACACCAGAAUAGCAGAUAGGCAGAGUACUAGGCCAGAAGUAAAAUACAGAGAACGUGGGCAGUGCAGGUACUAUGGACAAAAGUGGUUUCUUGGACACAAAUGUGCACAAUACAAAACUCUCAAUCUGAUGGCCACAGAAGAAGAAGAAUUAGAGCUGGAUGAACAAAUGCAGAAUAACAACUACCAGCAAGACGAGGAACAACCAACUACUUCACCAAAUAUUGAUGAGAAACUCAUGCUGAUAUCCAUGCAAGUGGUUAGAGGAAAAAGCACGGCGGCUACCUUCACCAUGUGGGUGGAUAUUGGAGGCAAAAAGGGGCUAGCACUGGUGGACUCAGGAAGCACCAACACCUUUAUGGAUCUAUCCUUUGCAACAACAACUAAAUGCACUAUUGCUAGGAAUGAUUUGCAGACAGUCCAUAUUGCUGGUGGGGGUAAGUUGCAGACAGGAGCCCACAUUCCUUCUGCAAAUUACUCCAUACAAGGCCAUGAGUUCUCCAACAGUUUCAAACUACUCCCACUGAAAGGGUACGGAAUUAUUUUGGGUUGUGAUUGGCUGUUGGAGCACAACCCAAUAUCCUUAGACUUUGAUGAGAGGCUGAUGACAAUCAACUGGAAGAGAGAGAAAACAAUUACUCUAUAG
rnacentral:rRNA from 1 species